rnacentral:misc_RNA from 1 species
UCUCCGUAGGUGAACCUGCGGAGGGAUCAUUACAGAGUUCAUGCCCUACCGGGUAGAUCUCCCACCCUAUGUUAUUAUUACUUUGUUGCUUUGGCGGGCCGUUAGGCUCCGGCCCGACUACCGGUCCCGGCUGGUAAGCGCCCGCCAGAGGACCCAAAACCCUGAAUAUUAGUGUCGUCUGAGUACUAUAUAAUAGUUAAAACUUUCAACAACGGAUCUCUUGGUUCUG